rnacentral:piRNA from 1 species
UNGGCAUUCUUUUUCUUUCUAGCAAGAUGAU